CCUACGGGUGGCAGCAGUGGGGAAUAUUGCGCAAUGGGCGAAAGCCUGACGCCGCGCCGCCUCGUGAGGGAUGAAGGUCUUCGGAUCGUAAACCUCUGUCAGCAGGGAAGAACGGUCACUGUGCUAAUCAGCAGUGAAUUGACGGUACCUGCAAAGGAAGCACCGGCUAACUCCGUGCCAGCAGCCGCGGUAAUACGGAGGGUGCGAGCGUUAAUCGGAAUUACUGGGCGUAAAGCGCUCGUAGGCGGUAUGUCAAGUCAAGGGGGAAAUCCCCGCGCUCAACGUGGGAACUGCCUUUGAAACUGGCAAACUGGAGUGUGUGAGAGGAUAGUGGAAUUCCAGGUGUAGGAGUGAAAUCCGUAGAUAUCUGGAGGAACAUCAGUGGCGAAGGCGACUAUCUGGCACAUAACUGACGCUGAGGAGCGAAAGCGUGGGUAGCGAACAGGAUUAGAUACCCCUGUAGUC
rnacentral:rRNA from 1 species